rnacentral:lncRNA from 1 species
GGGAUUUUUUUAUAUUUGCACUUCACCUUAGGGAGGAAGUUGUAAUUUAACCAAAAUACAUUUUUUUAUAAACAUAUCUAAUCGUAAUAACCCAUCUAAAUAUAAAAAAUAAUUAAUACAAUUGAUAAAUGAAUACCAGUUCGGCUAAAUUAAUGGGCCACAAAUUUAAAAUAGAAAUGGGCAGGGGCCGCGCGAACGCAGGCCCCCACAGGAACAAAUAAUGACGGAGGAACAACCACUUGGAUCGACCUUAGUCACGCGCCCCUCCUAUUUGUGCAAUGGAGGUCACGUGCCUAGGCCAUGGCCCUUCUUGUUCAGCCAUAGACCCCAUCCAGGUAAGUGGGUAAUCUAAUGUACCUUCAGCUCUUUAAAUAGUGAAAUCAUCUUUGUUUACAUCACUCUUCUACCGAUGUGGGAUUAGUUUAAUAUUGCAAUUUCACUUCUUUCUAUUGUGUUGUGUUUCAACCAACACCUCUGCUUAAAUGUAUGUAUAUAUUGUUUAUAUACAUACGUAAGCGUGGUCUAUGAGUAUGUGCUUCGAUCAAUCUGUUUCCGGAAUAUCUACUAAUAAAUGUUGUUCGAUGGGGAAAAACAAGAAAUUAAAACUACUAUUGAUCUUAUAAUUUUCAACUUAAGAUCUUGAUUAAGUAGAUGAAUAAAUUGAUAUAGUUAGCAGCAUUAGCAAUUAAAUUUUCUAGAAAAUGAAGAUUAAUUUUAUUUUUUGUUGGUUUCGACUUUUAACUGAUGAAGGAAUAAUAAGGUGAAUAAAUUGUCAACCAUGGUUUGGAAGAGUUACUACGGUUAACAACGCUUAGCAAUUAUAAUAAACUAGAAGCAAGAUGAAGCCAAUUUUGACUACUGAUGAAAGAAAUUGUAAAGAAAUCAUCUACAAUUCGAUUAAAUAAUUCAUAGAUCCAAGGAUGAAGUAAGAACCCUAAUUUGAAUGCAAUAACAGCAAGUAUUAAAUCAAGCAAUUGAACAAGAAUGCUUUAACGUGGUUUGAUUAGAAUAAUCUAAAUUUACCGAGAGAGAGAGAGAGAGCAAAAUCCACUACGAACGAACACAAACGAUUACGGAGAUAGAAGAUCAAAUACAAGAGACUAAAAAUCUGCCCUACAAACCCUAACUCAGUUUCUGUCAGACUUCUCUUCUCCAAUAGCAAAGUGCCAGCUCGGCAGUUAGUUGUUAACGGAAUAUGUCAGACUUCUUCUCCAAGUAAAAGACUCACUCUCACAGAGUUAACUUUCUUCACUUGCCACCUGGAACUCUUGAACAAUCCAAAUUAAUGAUGGUAUAUGCCAUGCUAUCACGGUACAGUAAGAUAGAUUCCUUAUACUACCUAACACCUUUUUGUUAAUGAUGUUGAUUAACUACUUAUACUUAUUGUAGAACUAAGUUGUUUUUGUAAUAAAGAAUGUAUUUUCAAGCUUUGAUGUACACAAGUGUAAACUGGUUUUGGAUUUCUUCCUUAAUUAUCUUCUGCACACAACUGAUAUUUUAUAAUCAGUUGUAUACUUAUUUAGCGGUGCAUUUCCAUUUUAGAUUUGUAAAGCUCGUACACGGAUCUUGCUCUCGUGUAAUGUAUAUCAUCAAUAACACAAAUUAGAGAAUAAUAGAAAAAAUCCCAAAAGUUAUUUUAUUAAUAAUAUAGUAGACAAAGACAUAUAUAAAAUGGUUGGAAUUUAUAAUGAAAGAAGAUUUCUUAAUUACAUUUAUAAUUUGAUAUAUUUCGUAAGAAAAUAUUUAACUAAGAAUUGGUGGGGUGAGCCAGGCAAAGGCAGUAGUGCAACGCCAGAGCGACUCACGAGAGCCCCAGCAGCAAGCUGCAGUAAUGGGCCCUCCCCCUUAAAAAAUUAAUUUAAUAUCGUGUGAGCCAAUGGCUCACAUAUCAGAUAUUAAACUGAUAAGAACAGAUACUACACUUGAUCUUAGCCAAAAGGCCGAGAAAGGUAUGCUUUUUCCAGUCUUACAGUUCUGUUUUUAUAGUCAAGCUUCUAUUUAGACUAACUAUGUUUUCUCGAUGUGGGAUGCUAUGAAGAACUACUUUAUUUUAAGCCUUACUUAUAUUUUGCACUUUGCUAAACAGUGAAACAUACAUCCCUGUUAGGCAUUUCAGUUCUUUUGUGCCAAGCUCAAUAAUCUGGAAUGCUGCUGACUCAUUCAAGCAGUAAGGCGCCUACUUUUCGGGGCUUGGGGACCUCAUUCGACUACAAGUAAAUCAAUUUACAAAUCCAAUCCCGAUAUAGCGUGUGCCCAUAUAUAUAUCACCGGCUAAUACGCCCUUUAAGGUUGCAUUGCCUCCAUUGACCUCUCAAGUGAGGAGACCUCCCAUUGAGCUCUCAGUCACCUGUGCCCCGAAUUCGGAUUUGGAUAGAAUCAUACCGAAAUGUGAGUUUUUCUUUUGUUUCUAAUAAUGACUCGUUUCCUAAAGUUAUAAAUAUGAAAUCAAAUACCACAACAAACUUUGGUAUAUGUCUAAGGUGGACAUUGCAAAAGGCAAUUGUGAGAAAAGUUUAAAAUUGUUCAUCUCUGAGAAUUCAAGUAUUUCCAAGUAUCUAUAAAUUAGAUUUAAUCAGACAAAGUCAAAAGUUGUAACGAAUAAACUAAUUUCAACUUUUUUUUAAAUAAUUAUAAUAAUAAUCAAUAUUUUAUUUAUUACAAAUUAUAAAAGUGUUUUCAAACAAAAUAUUGGCUCAAAAAUACUUUUAAACAAACAAGCAAAAUACAACUAACUAACAACAUUGUUUGGACUAGAAAUGGGCAGGGGCCGCGCGAACGCAGGCCCCCUCAGGAACAAAUAAUAACGGAGGAACGACCACUUGGAUCGACCUUAGUCACGCGCCCCUCCUAUUUGUGCAAUGGAGGUCACGUGCCUAGGCCAUGGCCCUUCUUGUUCAGCCAUAGACC